GCACUGCUGAGGAGUGCCACGAUAGGACGAAACGGCCGUCCAGUGC
rfam:Schistosoma margrebowiei strain Zambia genome assembly, scaffold: SMRZ_contig0001135